CCUACGGGAGGCAGCAGUGGGGAAUAUUGCACAAUGGGCGCAAGCCUGACGCAGCAACGCCGCGUGAGGGAAGAAGGCUUUCGGGUUGUAAACUUCUUUUCUGAGGGACGAAGAAAGUGACGGUACCUCAGGAAUAAGCCACGGCUGACUACGUGCCAGCAGCCGCGGUACUUCGUAGGUGGCAAGCGUUCUCCGGAGUUAUUGGGUGUAAGGGCCGGGUCGGAGGGCCAGCAAGUCAGAUGUGAACAGCCAGGGCUCAACCCUGGGCCUGCAUUGGAAACUGGUGUUCUUGAGUGCUGGAGAGGCAAUCGGAAGUCCGGGUGUAGCGGUGAAAUGCGUAGAUAUACGGAGGAACACCAGUGGCGAAGGCGGAUUGCUGGACAGUAACUGACGCUGAGGCGCGAAAGCGUGGGGAGCAAACAGGAUUAGAUACCCUAGUAGUC
rnacentral:rRNA from 1 species